AGCGAACGCUGGCGGCAGGCCUAACACAUGCAAGUCGAACGAACCUUUCGGGGUUAGUGGCUGACGGGUGAGUAACACGUGGGAACGUGCCUUUAGGUUCGGAAUAACUCAGGGAAACUUGUGCUAAUACCGAAUGUGCCCUUCGGGGGAAAGAUUAAUCGCCUUUAGAGCGGCCCGCGUCUGAUUAGCUAGUUGGUUGAGGUAAUGGCUCACCAAGGCGACGAUCAGUAGCUGGUCUGAGAGGAUGAUCAGCCACAUUGGGACUGAGACACGGCACAAACUCCUACGGGAGGAAGCAGUGGGGAAUCUUGAGGAAUGGGCGAAAGCCUGACGCAGCCAUGCCGCGUGAAUGAUGAAGGUCUUAGGAUUGUAAAAUUCUUUCACCGGGGACGAUAAUGACGGUACCCGGAGAAGAAGCCCCGGCUAACUUCGUG
rnacentral:rRNA from 1 species